rnacentral:rRNA from 1 species
UGAACGCUGGCGGCGUGCCUAAUACAUGCAAGUCGAGCGAACAGAUGAGGAGCUUGCUCCUCUGACGUUAGCGGCGGACGGGUGAGUAACACGUGGAUAACCUACCUAUAAGACUGGGAUAACUUCGGGAAACCGGAGCUAAUACCGGAUAAUAUAUUGAACCGCAUGGUUCAAUAGUGAAAGACGGUUUUGCUGUCACUUAUAGAUGGAUCCGCGCCGCAUUAGCUAGUUGGUAAGGUAACGGCUUACCAAGGCAACGAUGCGUAGCCGACCUGAGAGGGUGAUCCGCCACACUGGAACUGAGACACGGUCCAGACUCCUACGGGAGGCAGCAGUAGGGAAUCUUCCGCAAUGGGCGAAAGCCUGACGGAGCAACGCCGCGUGAGUGAUGAAGGUCUUCGGAUCGUAAAACUCUGUUAUUAGGGAAGAACAAAUGUGUAAGUAACUAUGCACGUCUUGACGGUACCUAAUCAGAAAGCCACGGCUAACUACGUG